GGUCGACAUUUGGACGACGAUGACCGCUAGACGCGCGCCGUAGUGAGAAUUUCGGGAAACACGAAAUUCAACCGCUGUACACCUCCGUCGAUUGGCGCGCCGCGGUCGAUGGACGAUUGAAAGAAGUGGAAAACGCCGACCGGCCGAAUAAAAUAAAAUAUUUCAAUAGACAAUAUUAUUCGACCGUCUGCGUUUUUUCAUCAAACUAUAGCGGUAAACCGAUCACCCAACCGUUUGGAC